UUGAAACGACCAUAACUGUGCAAAAGAUACAAAGAUUAGAUAGUGUUAAAAUCACAUAUGAUAAUGAAGAGUAGAAAACAUAUUUUGAAUAGACCUAAUCAAUAUGACGAGAAACAAGAUAGUAUAAAAUAUGACUCAUUGGUCCAACGUCUAGUUUUUUUUUUUUUAGUGUGAUUCUUUAGUCAAAUGGUAAAACCAUGAUUCUUCUGUCAAUCAAUAACACCAUGCAUUGCAUUGGCCAUUACACCGGAUGAUAUGUGUUAUUUAAAUUUUAAUAAAGUUUAUUAUUGAAUUAAUUUAUAU
rnacentral:lncRNA from 1 species